rnacentral:rRNA from 1 species
GACAGAGGGGGCAAGCGUUGCUCGGAAUUACUGGGCGUAAAGGGCGCGUAGGCGGUUGUGCAAGACAGAUGUGAAAUCCCCGGGCUCAACCUGGGAACUGCAUUUGUGACUGUACGGCUGGAGUGCGGCAGAGGGGGAUGGAAUUCCGCGUGUAGCAGUGAAAUGCGUAGAUAUGCGGAGGAACACCGAUGGCGAAGGCAAUCCCCUGGGCCUGCACUGACGCUCAUGCACGAAAGCGUGGGGAGCAAACAGG